ACCUACAGUGCCUGGUCAUUGAUGAAGCUGAUCGUAUCUUGGAUGUUGGAUUUGAAGAGGAGUUAAAGCAGAUUAUUAAACUUCUGCCAGUACGCAGACAGACCAUGCUUUUUUCUGCCACUCAAACGCGAAAGGUGGACGACCUGGCGAGGAUUUCUCUGAAAAAGGAGCCUUUGUAUGUCGGCGUCGAUGAUGAUAAAGCCAAUGCAACCGUGGAUGGUCUUGAGCAGGGCUACGUUGUCUGUCCCUCUGAAAAAAGAUUCCUUCUGCUGUUUACCUUCCUGAAGAAGAACCGAAAGAAGAAACUGAU